AGGUGCCAAACUCAGGCGCCACUGUUGGGUGGCCUUCUUGAUGAACUGGCUAUUUCAUGUCUGAUGCGAGUUCCUCGAGUCAAGCACCAUAAUCUUCGUUUAGGUUGUAAAAGAUGAAGCCGACUUUUAUACGGGAAUUAUUAUUACUCACUGCGGAAGAAGAAUGGGUUCAUGUCUUCAAAAGGGGUCGUGAUCAGAACGUAUCUUGGCAUGCCUUUGAUCUAG
rnacentral:rRNA from 1 species